AUGGAAGGAAGCAUCAGCGGUCCAUCAGAGAAAAGGGUUGCCGUGGUGACCGGAGGGAACCGGGGGAUGGGGCUGGAGAUAUGCCGGCAGCUUGCGGCUCACGGGCUCACCGUCGUCUUGACGGCGAGGGACGAGAAGAGGGGCACUGAGGCAGCCGAAAAGCUCCGGGAGGAGGGGCUACCGGAUGUCAUGUUUCAUCAGUUGGAGAUCAGCGAGCCCGCCAGUGCCGCUCAUCUGGCUGCUUCCAUAAAGGACAAGUUCGGCAAGCUUGACAUAUUGCCCCCGACUCUCGUCCCCCGUUCCCGUUCCUCGUUCCCACCGUACCGGAAACAUGGCAACUAUGCGCACACCGCACCGCAGGUCAACAAUGCCGGAGUGCUCGGGGUGACCACGGACGUCGGCGACCCGGCAACCCUCCAGGAGACGCUUGCAGGCAUGGAUGGGAUGGAGAGAGCCGAGUGGCUGAGGCAGCGGACCACGCAGACCGCCCAGGAUGCAGAGGACUGCCUGAGGAUCAACUACCACGGCAACAAGACCGUCACGGAAGCCCUCCUCCCGCUCCUCCGGUCCUCCUCCGACGGCAGAAUCGUCAACGUAACCUCUGCCUGGGGCUUGCUCAGGUAUUUCAGCGGCGACGAGCUCCGGCGGGAGCUGGACGACGUCGCAAACCUCACGACGCAGCGGCUCGACGAGAUGUCGGGCCUGUUCCUCGAGGACCUGGGCACGGGCAAUGGCGCGCUGGAGCGCCGCGGGUGGCCGGCCGACCCGGUGUACGCCGCCUACAUGGCGUCCAAGGCGCUGGUGUGCGCCUACACCAGGGUGAUCGCCAGGGAGGAGGGCGCUGCGUUGCGGGUCAACUGCGUGCACCCCGGCUACGUCGUCACCGGGAUGAACGACUACACCGGCAUCCUCACCGCCGCCGAGGGCGCCGCCGCCGCGGUUGUAGUUGCGCUCGCGGAGAAGGGGGGAGUCACCGGCGCCUACUUCGAUCGCACUGAACUGGGAGCGUCCUUUGUGUGA
rnacentral:rRNA from 1 species